rnacentral:rRNA from 1 species
AGAGUUUGAUCCUGGCUCAGAUUGAACGCUGGCGGCAGGCUUAACACAUGCAAGUCGAGCGGUAACAUUUCUAGCUUGCUAGAAGAUGACGAGCGGCGGACGGGUGAGUAAUGCUUGGGAAUAUGCCUUAUGGUGGGGGACAACAGUUGGAAACGACUGCUAAUACCGCAUAACGUCUACGGACCAAAGGGGGGGGGAUUUUCGGACCUCUCGCCAUUUGAUUAGCCCAAGUGAGAUUAGCUAGUUGGUGAGGUAAUGGCUCACCAAGGCGACGAUCUCUAGCUGGUUUGAGAGGAUGAUCAGCCACACUGGGACUGAGACACGGCCCAGACUCCUACGGGAGGCAGCAGUGGGGAAUAUUGCACAAUGGGCGAAAGCCUGAUGCAGCCAUGCCGCGUGUGUGAAGAAGGCCUUCGGGUUGUAAAGCACUUUCAGUUGUGAGGAAAGGGAUGUAGUUAAUAACUGCAUGCUGUGACGUUAACAACAGAAGAAGCACCGGCUAACUUCGUGCCAGCAGCCGCGGUAAUACGAGGGGUGCAAGCGUUAAUCGGAAUUACUGAGCGUAGAGCGUUCGUAGGCGGUCUAUUAAGCAAGAUGUGAAAGCCCAGGGCUCAACCUUGGAACUGCAUUUUGAACUGGUAGGCUAGAGUACUGUAGAGGGUGGUGGAAUUUCCAGUGUAGCGGUGAAAUGCGUAGAGAUUGGAAGGAACAUCAGUGGCGAAGGCGGCCACCUGGACAGAUACUGACGCUGAGGAACGAAAGCGUGGGGAGCGAACAGGAUUAGAUACCCUGGUAGUCCACGCCGUAAACGAUGUCAACUAGCCGUUCGUGUCCUUGAGACGUGAGUGGCGCAGCUAACGCACUAAGUUGACCGCCUGGGGAGUACGGCCGCAAGGUUAAAACUCAAAUGAAUUGACGGGGGCCCGCACAAGCGGUGGAGCAUGUGGUUUAAUUCGAUGCAACGCGAAGAA